AGGGUUAUAGUUACUUAUAACAUUUGAUUUGCACUCAAAAAGUAUUGAUUAUAUCAAUUAACCUUA
rnacentral:tRNA from 1 species